AUUGAACGCUGGCGGCAGGCCUAACACAUGCAAGUCGAGCGGAUGAAGGGAGCUUGCUCCUGGAUUCAGCGGCGGACGGGUGAGUAAUGCCUAGGAAUCUGCCUGGUAGUGGGGGAUAACGUCCGGAAACGGGCGCUAAUACCGCAUACGUCCUGAGGGAGAAAGUGGGGGAUCUUCGGACCUCACGCUAUCAGAUGAGCCUAGGUCGGAUUAGCUAGUUGGUGGGGUAAAGGCCUACCAAGGCGACGAUCCGUAACUGGUCUGGGAGGAUGAUCAGUCACACUGGAAAGGAGACACGGGCCCGACCCCUACGGGGGGCAGGAGGGGGGAAUAUUGGAAAAUGGGCGAAAGCCCGAUCCCGCCAUGCCGGGGGUGUGAAGAAGGUCUUCGGAUUGUAAAGCACUUUAAGUUGGGAGGAAGGGCAGUAAGUUAAAACCUUGUUGUUUUGACGUUACCAACAGAAUAAGCACCGGCUAACUUCGU
rnacentral:rRNA from 1 species